ensembl:lncRNA LINC01533 long intergenic non-protein coding RNA 1533
ACAUGGGUCAUUUCUUCCAGGCUCCAACUUGCUUCUGCUUUGCCAUAUGGUAACACGCCGUAUUAUGGAAGCACCAUCAUUACCGCCAUUUGCAGGGGAAGCCUAAAGAGAUAAAUGCCAGCCAGCAUCCCUGUCUCUGGGGCCCUGGAGAGGCCUUCAACACACCUGGCCUCACUGCCCUGUGGCUUCAACAAAGAGGCCGAGCAUCUCCUAUAAACCUUGAGGUCCAUGGAUGACAUAGCGGAAUGAUGGAUUUCAGAAAAGCACACUGCUGUUACGACUCCAGAACCGAUAAGGAAGCUAUGUGUGGAAGUAUGAGCUCAGGUCGCCUUCUGACCCUCUGUGACGGUCUAUUUCAGGCAGUUAUGGAUAGAUAACAUUACAGACACUGGGAUCUUUAACAAGUGACACAAACAAGAGAAGAAGCAGACAGGACCAUUUAACUUCAAACUCCACCGAAGAGAGCUGAAUUGUAAGCUUCCUACAGCAAGCCCGGCUGGCGGCUAUGUGGCAGUCUUCAUUUCUCAGCGGAAAAGCCACUCCCUUGAGACUCUCCAGGCACCCCCCAACCGCAUUUUUUAUCAAGUGUCUAAAAGACACAAUGAACAAAAACCAGAGCUUUUGAAUACAGAUUUCCAGUAAAACCAAACCCAGCUUGGGUCAGAUGCACCUUUCCAGCAACCACCAUCUCAGCAACAACCUGCCAGCUGUCAACUGGAAGUUCAGCUUCUGGGAACUUCAGCCCCCUUCUCAGAGGAGCAAGGUCCUAGCACCAACAGCACCUGCAGUGGAGCCCAAGUAUGGCUGCUUCAUGGAGAAGGCAGAUAUUGAAAUGUGAUCACUGAGGCUCAGUGGGAAUCCCUUUGCUCUCAAACUCCCCGAUGCAAUGCCUUCUGAUUUCAACAGAAAAGCAAGAGGCUCCAGGCACCCCAUUCAGGGACUGCCACCAAAGUACCCGCAAAUCCUUCAUGAAAGGGGAGACAUUGACACAUUCUUUUUUUAUUCUCUGGUAGGUAUCUGUUUGCGUGCAAAUCCGUGAGUGCUUGCAUCUCGUGUAUUUGAAAAUCCUGUUUAAGAAUGCAGAGGUCCAUAUAGUGUCAUUAAAACAAAUGAGUAUAA